AAAGUACUCCCUCCGUCCCAAAAUUCUUGUCUAAGAUUUGUCUAGAUACGGAUGUAUCAAGUCACAUUUUAGUAUUAGAUACAUCUGUAUCUAGAAAAAUCUAAGACAAGAAAUUUGGGACAAAGGGAGUAGUUG
rnacentral:pre_miRNA from 1 species